rnacentral:rRNA from 1 species
UACGAAGGGGGCUAGCGUUGCUCGGAAUCACUGGGCGUAAAGCGCACGUAGGCGGACUCUUAAGUCAGGGGUGAAAUCCUGGAGCUCAACUCCAGAACUGCCUUUGAUACUGAAGGUCUUGAGUUCGGGAGAGGUGAGUGGAACUGCGAGUGUAGAGGUGAAAUUCGUAGAUAUUCGCAAGAACACCAGUGGCGAAGGCGGCUCACUGGCCCGAUACUGACGCUGAGGCACGAAAGCGUGGGGAGCAAACAGG